AUUAAACAGUAACCUCAUCAGGUUUUAUGUGUAAUUAAACAGUAACCUCAUCAGGUUUUAUGUGUAAUUAAACAGUAACCUCAUCAGGUUUUAUGUGUAAUUAACAGUAACCUCAUCAGGUUUUAUGUGUAAUUAAGCAGUAACCUCAUCAGGGUUUAUGUGUAAUUAAACAGUAACCUCAUCAGGUUUUAUGUGUAAUUAAACAGUAACCUCAUCAGGUUUUAUGUGUAAUUAAACAGUAACCUCAUCAGGGUUUAUGUGUAAUUAAACAGUAACCUCAUCAGGUUUUAUGUGUAAUUAAACAGUAACCUCAUCAGGUUUUAUGUGUAAUUAACAGUAACCUCAUCAGGUUUUAUGUGUAAUUAAGCAGUAACCUCAUCAGGGUUUAUGUGUAAUUAACAGUAACCUCAUCAGGUUUUAUGUGUAAUUAAACAGUAACCUCAUCAGGGUUUAUGUGUAAUUAAACAGUAACCUCGUCAGGUUUUAUGUGUAAUUAGCUGUCUGGGUUUAGAAAGGUAGAAAGUAGAAAGAUGUGCUUUAUUUAGAAACUGCUGUUUUAAAAAGUGCCAGUGAUGCUUACCUGUGAAUUCAGGUGUGUUAGUAUUGCUGUUUCAGGUGUGUUAGUAUUGCUGUUUCAGCUGUGUGUCAUUCAGGUAUGUUAGUAUUGCUGUUUCAGGUGUGUUAGUAUUGCUGUUUCAGGUGUGUUAGUAUUGCUGUUUCAGGUGUGUUAGUAUUGCUGUUUCAGGUGUGUUAGUAUUGCUGUUUCAGGUGUGUUAGUAUUGCUGUUUCAGGUGUGUUAGUAUUGCUGUUUCAGGUGUGUUAGUAUUGCUGUUUCAGGUGUGUUAGUAUUGCUGUUUCAGGUGUGUUAGUAUGGCUGCAUUCAGGUGUGUCAUUCAGGUGUGUUAGUAUGGCUGCAUUCAGGUGUGUCAUUCAGGUGUGUUAGUAUGGCUGCAUUCAGGUGUGUCAUUCAGGUGUGUUAGUAUGGCUGCAUUCAGGUGUGUCAUUCAGGUGUGUUAGUAUGGCUGCAUUCAGGUGUGUCAUUCAGGUGUGUUAGUAUGGCUGCAUUCAGGUGUGUCAUUCAGGUGUGUUAGUAUGUCAGCAUUCAGGUGUGAGUCAUUCAGGUGUUCUACAAUGUCUGCAUUCAGGUGUGUGUCAUUGAGGUGUUCUAGAAUGUCUGCAUUCAGGUGUGUGUCAUUCAGGUGUUCUAGAAUGUCUGCAUUCAGGUGUGUCAUUCAGGUGUUCUAGAAUGUCUGCAUUCAGGUGUGUGUCAUUCAGGUGUUCUAGAAUGUCUGCAUUCAGGUGUGUGUCAUUCAGGUGUUCUAGAAUGUCUGCAUUCAGGUGUGUGUCAUUCAGGUGUUCUAGAAUGUCUGCAUUCAGGUGUGUGUCAUUCAGGUGUUCUAGAAUGUCUGCAUGGGCGAGGUGCAGAGCAGUGAGAUUAAUGACCUGAGAGGCGUUCUAAUCAUCGUUCCAUUCUGGGAAGGUGAGCCAGCGCCCCGGGGGGGAGAGAAUAUGGGUUGAACUUCACUCCAGUUAUAUUUACUAAAAUAACAUCUAACUGAUCAACUGGCAGCUUGUCUCUCCCAUUCACGACAAUAGGCAGAGAUUAACGUUAGUGUUUCUGCACGGCACAGAGCAGACUGAAAACUAUAUUUGUGCAGUGUGGACAAAGUCAUAGGGAAUAAGGCCGGGAUCCAAUCCAUUCGUGCUAAAUUAGCUAUGCACCUUUUAAAGGCAAUGUUUCCGUGUUUUCGGCUCAAUAGGAAAUUACCUUUAAAUGGUGCAUAGCCCUUAACAUGGUGCAUAGCCCUUUACAUGGUGCAUAGCCCUUUACAUGGUGCAUAGCCCUUUACAUGGUGCAUAGCCCUUAACAUGGUGCAUAGCCCUUAACAUGGUGCAUAGCCCUUAACAUGGUGCAUAGCCCUUAACAUGGUGCAUAGCCCUUAACAUGGUGCAUAGCCCUUUACAUGGUGCAUAGCCCUUUACAUGGUGCAUAGCCCUUUACAUGGUGCAUAGCCCUUUACAUGGUGCAUAGCCCUUUACAUGGUGCAUAGCCCUUUACAUGGUGCAUAGCCCUUAACAUGGUGCAUAGCCCUUUACAUGGUGCAUAGCCCUUUACAUGGUGCAUAGCCCUUUACAUGGUGCAUAGCCCUUUAACAUGGUGCAUAGCCCUUAACAUGGUGCAUAGCCCUUAACAUGGUGCAUAGCCCUUAACAUGGUGCAUAGCCCUUUACAUGGUGCAUAGCCCUUUACAUGGUGCAUAGCCCUUUACAUGGUGCAUAGCCCUUAACAUGGUGCAUAGCCCUUAACAUGGUGCAUAGCCCUUAACAUGGUGCAUAGCC